GGGGCAGGCGGAGAGGCAGCAGCCCCUUCUCCAGCUUUAAUGUCUAUGGUUGGAUGAAAGUGUUGUGAGAGAGCCCGUGUGUGUGUGUCACUGUGUGGAUGUGAGGGACCCUGUGUUAUGCGUUUUAUUUCCCUAGGCCGGUCUUUCUGCCACAACAGGGCCUUAAAGAUUCCCUCUCUUAUACACCCCCCCCUACCCCGGCCCCACAUCUCAUCUGCCCCCCGGGGUUGGUUAUCGUCCGCUCACCCACAAAUGCCGGCUGCACACACUGGGUUGUUAGUGUAGGGUUGCGCGAGAGCACUGGAUUGCUCCAGUGGGGCGGGUUGACAGCAUUUCUCAGAUUUGAUUUGUAGAAAGUUGAUAUUUUGCUGAUCUGGUUUAACGCGGGGGGAGGGGACAUUGGGAACGUUUCAAUUUCCCCCCCUUAAAAAUAGUCCAAGUGGGCAAUGCUGCUGGCGUUCUGACGUUCAAACUGUGGGGCUGGUUCACAGCGACCGCUUGCUCCGCACACUUUGACGGCAAGGAAGAAAAGGCAGGUGGGCAUCAUGACAUCACUUUUAUUAACCAUCAGAAACCACGUUGUUCAUUAAAGUUUUACAGACAGUACUUAUUUUUUUCUUUUUCAAAUUGUACACGUUACGAUACAUUUCCAGGAUUUAUCUCUGGUGUUCAAGACUGUUAGAACUGUGUGUGUGUGUGAGAGAGAGAGAGGGGCGGGAGCAGUAGGGUUACAGGGUUAUUUCCUGAAUGGUUGGUGUUGCUGAGAUCAGAUUUGACGAUGAUUCAUUGACUGGUUAAAGCAGACGUCUGAACAUUUCUGGAGGGGACGCUAGUGACUUUGGAAGGAACUCUCUGUGCAGUAAGGAAAAAGCAGCGUGCCAGCUCAGGAUCAGGAUUUGAGCCAGUUUGCACUUUUGUUGCUGAAAGACCGGGACCCAGGUGAAAAUUUCCCAUGAAAACAGGCCCAUUGGUGGGCAAGCCGGUUUUGCAAAAGGUUUCUAAAACAAUAAGAACAGGCGACUGACACGGCCAGCGGCACGUGGGGUCAAAGUCGUGCCUGAAACGACAUUGAACGAGAAAUGCUCAAAAAUGUUCAAUCCAAACCGUUUCGCGGCACAAACUGGCUUUCUGUUACUGCAGGACGUUCCACGGGAAAUGCCCAUUUUCCAUGUUUUGAGCAUUUAGUUAAACCCUCUCUGCCCCCACCCCCCAAAUAACUACAAAGGCUGGUUUUCUACAGCCAAGCAUUUUUAGCCAAAACCUGAAACAUUUUCAUUUUGGUCAAAAAUUGUCAUGGGAGGAGGGAGGAAAAUUCCCAAGUUGCUUUGAACUUGGAUGGUUCGAAACUGACAAACUUUCCACGGGUGGCAUCUCUUUAAGGCAAGGACCAGCCUCAAUCUUCCGACACCAUCUGAGUGAUCUUAAGGGUCAGAAAAGCUCUUGCUAAAGGCUUAGGUCCAGAUCGUCAAAGGGAUUGAGGUGCCUAACUCCCAUAGGCACCAAAAUACCAUUGAGGGUCUGGGCCUUAAUGACUAACCCACAUGCUGUCACUGUUGGUUGACAAGGAAAUGUUUGGGUCUUUUCCCAUGUCCCUAGUAGAAAAGCCGUAAAAACGUGAGUCACGUUAGUUAACAGCCCUGCAUAGCAGUGUUUUCUAGCAGCCGUAUCGUCCAGGCUGGCAGCUGUCCUGGGAGCGGUGUUUAUUAUCCUGCUUGGCAAGUGGGCAUGGACAUUGGGGUGUUGGUGUGAUACGUAAAAGUGAUGCCUCUCCAGAGAUUGUUUGUUAAGAAGCUGUAUACAAUC